rnacentral:rRNA from 1 species
AUGGAGGAGGAAUGCAAUGUGCUGGAGAGUAUACUUGACGGAAGCAUGAAACCGACGGAUCUACGGUUUUCCCUUCUCGAGAAGAUUACAGCAAAUUUUUCUGAGGAGCGAAGAAUUGGUGUGGGUGGAUUCGCAGUGGUGUACAAGGGUGUCCUCCAAAAUGACGAAGUUGCUGUGAAGAGGAUUAUGAACAACAUGACGAUUGAUGAGACACUAUUUCGUCGGGAGGUCAAUAGCCUGAUGCAGGUCAACCAUCAGAAUAUAGUCCGGUUUCUUGGCUUCUGCUCCAAUACAACACAUAAACAACUGAAAUAUGAAGGACGAUACAUUUACGCUGAGAGUAGAGAGAGAUUACUAUGCUUCGAGUACAUAAAAAAGGGAAGCCUUGAUAAAUAUAUUACAGAUGAAUUAAGGGGACUUGCAUGGAAUACACGGUAUAAUAUAAUCAAAGGAAUAUGCAAGGGACUGGAGUAUCUUCACAUGGAUAGGCAUAUCGUUCAUAUGGACUUGAAACCAGCUAAUAUACUAUUAGACAAUGAUAUGAUGGCCAAGAUUACUGAUUUUGGGUUAUCGAGAAUGGACGAAAGUUCAAGAACCACAAGUACAAACCGCUUUAUUUCACCGGGAUACUGUGCUCCAGAAUAUCUACUCCAUGGAAAAAUAUCAGUCAAGUCUGAUGUGUAUAGCCUCGGUGUUAUAAUAAUCGAACUGGUGACAGGGCAGAGGCAUAUUUCUGAUAAAAAUAAUGUACUUAGAAGAUGGAGGCAUAGAUGGAAUAUAUCAGGGCAAGAAACACCAUGCAUAUAUCAACAAGUAGCUAAAGUUAUCGAAAUUGGGCUACUCUGCAAGGAAAGUGACCCCUAUAAGAGGCCCUUUAUAUCUGAGAUAAUAUGUGAUAUAAAUGAACUAGAAAGCACAGAUAAGCAAAUCAGCAACGCCGAUGAAUCUACUGUUGGGCAGAUAAGCCCCUACCCAGAGGAUGACAUGCUUGGAAUUGAGUCGCUCGAGUUGCAUUUUCCUUUUGAACUCAACAAGCAGACGUCAUGCUCACUUCGACUGACGAAUGAGACAAAUUCUUAUAUUGCCUUCUCCAUCCACACGACGAGCCCCCUUCCAUAUUGUAUAGAACCAACCGAAGGCAUUGUGGCACCACGAUCCAUUUAUACUGUCAACAUAACAUUGCAACCACUAGACAAGGCACCACAAGAUAAGCAUCACACUGGCUAUUUCGCUGUGCGGAGCACCAAAUUGAAUACAUCUGAGAAUAUAACCGAAGAUAUGUUCAAGGAACAGAAGGGUAAAUUGGUUGAUGAGGUGAAUCUGACGGUUACGCAUGAGCCUCGUGAGCCCCACAUGGAUCUGCCACUUGAGAUGCUAACAAUUUCAGGUACAGGAAAUCUAAAGAGUCUAGAGGCAUCCAGUGCGUUAGCAGAGGCAAAAUCCAAGAUAAGGUCGCAGACCUUAGAUGAGCUUAUCCAGUUUGAUCCCCCUGAGAUCGGAUUCCCUUUCUUGCCAAACAAGACCCUGAUGUCCUCUGUUUCUAUAGUCAACAUUACGGAUUCCUACGUUGCUUUCAAUGCCAGCAUAUGUGAUAAAGUGGUGUAUAGUAUGCAACCAGACAAAGGAAUUCUGUCACCACGGUCCAGUAAAAAAUUAUUGGUGGUAAGGUCGCCAAUGGAAAUGGAACAACAAGACAUGCAGUGCAAUGACAAGCUCUUUAUGUGGAACCGCGUGGUGACUGAAGGUGUCGAAGCCAGCGACAUUGUUGAUUACUUAGGUGAUGAUGAACGUAAAAAGUUGCCCAUUGUUCUUAACAAGACAAGCCCACCAUGUACCUCAGAGGAGCUGAUCCGAUUUGACCCACCUGAGCUUUGCUUCCCAUUCAUGCCAAACAAGACAAUGGUGUGCUCCAUUAAUAUGGUCAACAAUACAGAGUACUCUGUCGGUUUUGGUAAUUAUAUCAACAAAGAAACUUUGGCAUCAUACUACACAAAACCGCAGAGAGGAAUCAUGCCACCAAGAUCUACUCAAAGACUUGUAGUAAGAAGGGUACUAAAGAAAAAUGAACUAGGAGAAGCUAUACAGGGGGAAGACAAGUUCUUUAUUGGGAACAUGAUUGUGACAAAAGGCGCCGAAGCCAGUGACCUCACUGAUUUAGUGUUUGAUAAAGGCAAUACGCAGUUGCCCAUAGUCUUUGAAAAGAUAAGCUCAUUAAGCACCUUCGACGAAUUGAUUCAGUUCGAUCCUCCCCAACUCCGCUUCCCGUUCAUGCCAACCAAGAGGGUGCUUAUGAUGUGCUCAAUUAAAAUAAUCAAUGUUACUGAUCACCGUGUAGGUUUCAACAAUUGGUACCGGAAGAGCAAUUCAGCAUGCUACAUCACAACUCCAAUCCGAGGAAUCCUGGCACCACGCUCCACACAAGAACUCAAGGUAAUAAGGGUACCAAAGGAAAAUGAAUCACAUGACAUGUCGUGCACAGAUGUGGUUGGUGUGUGGAAUGGCGUUGUGACUGAAGGCAUCGAGGAGACAGAUCUAUAUGGUUAUAUAAGUGAUGAAGAGAGUCAGCAGUUUCCCAUAGUUUAUACGAAGACAAGCCCACCAUAUACCUCAGAGGAGCUGAUCCGAUUUGACCCACCUGAGCUCAGCUUCCCCUACAAGCCAAACAAAACGAUGGUGUCCUCUGUUAAUAUGGUCAACAAUACAGAUUACUCCGUCGGUUUUAACAAUCAUAUCGACAAAGGAACUUUGGUGUCCUACUACACAAAACCGCAGAGAGGAAUUAUGCCACCAAGAUCCACUCAAAGGCUUGUAGUAAGAAGGGAACUAAGGAAAAAGGAACAAGCAGAAGACAUCCAGGGGGAAGGCAAGUUCUUUAUGGGGAACAUGAUUGUGGUAGAAGGCAUCGAAGCCAGUGACCUCACUCGCUUGGUGCCUGAUAAAGAAAAUACAAUGUUGCCCAUUGUCUUUCAGAAGACAAGCUUACUAAGCACCUCAGACGAGUUGAUCCAGUUUGAUCCUCCCCAACUCCGCUUCCCCUUCUUGCCCAACAAGAGAGUGUGUAUGGUGUGCUCAAUUAAAAUAGUCAAUGUGACAGAUCACUAUGUUGGUUUCAACAAUUGGUACAGGAAGAGCAAUUCAGCGAGGUACAAUGCAACUCCGGUCCGAGGAAUCCUGCCACCACGGUCCACACAAGAACUCAAGGUAAUAAGGGUACCAAAAGAAAAUGAAUCACAGGACAUGCCGUGCAAAGAUGUCUUUGGUGUAUGGAAUGGCGUUGUGAUGGAAGGCAUCGAAGCUACAGAUCUAUAUAAUUACAUGAAUGUUGAAGAUAGUAAGCAGUUGCCCAUAGUUUAUACAAAGACAAGCCCACCAUCUACCUCAGAGGAGCUAAUCCGAUUUGACCCACCUGAGCUCAGCUUCCCCUUUCAGCCAAACAAGACAAUGGUUGCAUCCGUUAAUAUGGUCAACAAUACAGAUUACUCAAUAGGUUUUAAUAAUCAUAUCGACAAAGGGACUUUGGCGUCGUACUACACAAAACCGCAGAGAGGAAUUAUGCCACCAAGAUCCAUUCAAAGACUUGUAGUAAGAAGGGUACUAAAGAAAAAGGAACAAGCAGAAGACAUCCAGGGGGAAGACAAGUUCUUUAUGGGGAACGUGAUUGUGACAAAAGGUGUCGAAGCCAGCGACCUCAGUGAUUUAGUGCCUGAUAAAGACAAUGCCCGGUUGCCCAUUGUCUUUGAGAAGACAAGCUUGUUAUGCACCUCGGAUGAGUUGAUCCGAUUUGAUCCUCCUGAACUCUGCUUUCCCUUCUUGCCAAACAAGAGGGCGCCUGUAUUGUACUCAGUUAAAAUAUUCAAUGUUACAGAUUACUGUGUUGGUUUCAACACAUGGGUCUACCCGCGCAAUUCUGCAAGAUACCGCAUAAUUCCCUCUAAAGGAAUCCUGCCACCACGGUCCACACAAACAGUCAAGAUCAAAGGGGUGCCAAAAGAAAAGGCACCAGAAGACACACGAUGCAAAGACGUGAUUGGUGUGUGGAAUUCCAUUGUGACUAAAGGUGUCAAAGCUAGCGAUUUCAUUAAUUACAUGGAUGUAAAUGAGAGUAAGCAAUUGCCCAUUGUUCUUAAAAAGACAACCUUAUUAUGCGCCUCAGCUGAUUUGAUCCAGUUUGAUCCUCCUGAGCUUCGCUUCCCCUUCUUGCCAAACAAGAGGGUGCCCAUGGCGUGCUUUAUUAAAAUAGUGAACACUACAGAUCAUUGCAUCGGUUUCAAUUCAUGGAAUUACAAGAGCAAUUCAGCCUUGUACCGCAUGACUCCAGUCCAAGGAAUCCUGCCGCCAGGUUCCACAGAGGUACUCAAGAUAAAAAGGGUAGCACGGGAAAAUGAAUCAGGAGACAUGCAGUGCAAAAACGUCGUCUUUCAUGUGUGGCAAGGCAUUGUGACUAAAGGUGUCGAAGCUACAGAUUUAACUGCUUACAUGGAUGCUGGAGAGACUAUACAGUUGCCCAUAGUUUUUACAAAUACAGACUUAUUAUGCACCUCAGACUAUUUGAUCCAGUUUGAUCCUCCUGAGCUCUGCUUCCCCUUCUUACCAAACAAGAGGGUUCCCAUGGUGUGCUUUAUUAAAAUAGUGAACGCUACAGAUCAUUGGGUCGGUUUCAAUUCAUGGACCUAUGAGAGCAAUUCAGCAUCAUACUACAUGACUCCGGACUCAACAAUUCUGCCACCAGGUUCCACACAGGUACUCAUGAUAAAAAGGAUAGCAAAUGAAAAUGAAUCAGAAGACAUGUGGCGGAAAGACGACUAUUUUUUCUUGUGGAAUAGUAUUGUCAAUGAAGAUAUUGAAGCUAGCGAUUUAAUUGACUGCAUGGAUGUUGAAGAGAGUAAGCGGUUGCCCGUAGUUUUUACGAAUACAACCUUAUCAUGCACCUCAGCUGAUUUGGUCCAGUUUGAUCCUCCUGAGCUUCGCUUCCCCUUCUUGCCAAACAAAAGGGUACCCAUGGUAUGCUUUAUUAAAAUAGUGAACUCUACAGAUCAUUGUGUCGGCUUCAAUUCAUGGACCUACGAGGGUACUUCAGCAUCGUACCAAAUGACUCCGGAUCCAGGAAUCCUGACACCAGGUUCCACAGAGGUACUCAUGAUAAAAAGGGUAGCAAAUGAAAAUGAAUCCGAAGACAUGCAAUGCAAAGACGAAUUUUACUUGUGGAAUUGUAUUGUCAAUGAAGACAUCGAAGCUAGCGAUUUAAUUGACUGUGAGGAUGAAGAAGAUAGUAAGCGUUUGCCCAUAGUUUUUACAAAUACAAGCUUAUUAUGCACCUCAGACGAUUGGUUACAGUUUGAUCCUCCAGAGCUCCACUUCCCCUUCUUGACAAACAAGAAGGUGCCCAUGGUGUUCUUUAUUAAAAUAGUGAACGCUACAAAUCAUUGUGUCGGUUUCAAUUCAUGGACCUACGAGAGUACUUCGGUGUCGUACCACAUGACCCCGGACCCAGGAAUCCUGUCUCCAGGUUCCACACAAGUACUCAUGAUAAAAAUGAUAGCAAAUGAAAAUGAAUCAGAAGACAUGCAGUGCAAAGAUAACUUCCUUUACUUGUGGAAUAGUAUUGUGAAUGAAGAUAUCGAAGCUAGUAAUUUGAUUGACUGCGAGGAUGAAGAAGAUAGUAAGCGGUUGCCCAUAGUUUUUACAAAUGCAAGCUUAUUAUGCACCUCAGAGAAUUUGAUCCAGUUUGAUCCUCCCGAACUCCGGUUCACCUUGUCAAACAACAGGGUGUCAAAAUUGUGCUCAGUUGAAAUAGUUAAUGCUACAGAUCACUGCAUUGGUUUUAACGCAUGGGGCAAUGAUAGCAAUUCAUCCCGGUACGACACAACUCCCGGGCAAGGAAUCCUGCCACCACGGUCCACACAAGUACUCAAUGUAAGAAGGGAACUGAAGGAAAAGGAAUCAAAAGACAUGCUGUGCAAAGACGAUGUGUAUAGUGUGUGGUAUGGCAUUGUUUCAGAAGGUAUCAAAGCUACAGAUUUAAGUGUUUACGACGAUGCUGAAGAGAGUAAGCAGCUACCCAUAGUUUUCACAGAGCCUGGUGAAAGCAGUUCAGCUUAG